GACGAACGCUGGCGGCGUGCUUAACACAUGCAAGUCGAGCGGAAAGGCCCUUCGGGGUACUCGAGCGGCGAACGGGUGAGUAACACGUGAGUAACCUGCCCCAGACUUUGGGAUAACCCUCGGAAACGGGGGCUAAUACCGGAUAUGACAUGAGCUCGCAUGGGUUUGUGUGGAAAGUUUUUCGGUUUGGGAUGGGCUCGCGGCCUAGUCAGCUUGUUGGUGGGGUGAUGGCCUACCAAGGCGACGACGGGUAGCCGCCUGAGAGGGCGACCGGCCACACUGGGACUGAGACACGGCCCAGACUCCGUACGGGAGGCAGCAGUGGGGAAUAUUGCACAAUGGGCGGAAGCCUGAUGCAGCGACGCCG
rnacentral:rRNA from 1 species